rnacentral:rRNA from 1 species
CCUUGACAUACUAAGAACUUUCCAGAGAUGGAUUGGUGCCUUCGGGAACUUAGAUACAGGUGCUGCAUGGCUGUCGUCAGCUCGUGUCGUGAGAUGUUGGGUUAAGUCCCGCAACGAGCGCAACCCUUUUCCUUAUUUGCCAGCGGGUCAUGCCGGGAACUUUAAGGAUACUGCCAGUGACAAACUGGAGGAAGGCGGGGACGACGUCAAGUCAUCAUGGCCCUUACGGCCAGGGCUACACACGUGCUACAAUGGUCGGUACAAAGGGUUGCUACCUCGCGAGAGGAUGCUAAUCUCAAAAAGCCGAUCAUAGUCCGGAUCGCAGUCUGCAACUCGACUGCGUGAAGUCGGAAUCGCUAGUAAUCGCGGAUCAGAAUGCCGCGGUGAAUACGUUCCCGGGCCUUGUACACACCGCCCGUCACACCAUGGGAGUUUGUUGCACCAGAAGUAGGUAGUCUAACCGCAAGGAGGACGCUUACCACGGUGUGGCCGAUGACUGGGGUGAAGUCGUAACAAGGUAGGCGUAGAUGA